GACGAACGCUGGCGGCGUGCCUAAUACAUGCAAGUAGAACGCUGAAGCGAGGAGCUUGCUCUUCUUGGAUGAGUUGCGAACGGGUGAGUAACGCGUAGGUAACCUGCCUUGUAGCGGGGGAUAACUAUUGGAAACGAUAGCUAAUACCGCAUAACAAUGGAUGACACAUGUCAUUUAUUUGAAAGGGGCAAUUGCUCCACUACAAGAUGGACCUGCGUUGUAUUAGCUAGUAGGUGAGGUAAUGGCUCACCUAGGCGACGAUACAUAGCCGACCUGAGAGGGUGAUCGGCCACACUGGGACUGAGACACGGCCCAGACUCCUACGGGAGGCAGCAGUAGGGAAUCUUCGGAAAUGGGGGCAACCCUGACCGAGCAACGCCGCGUGAGUGAAGAAGGUUUUCGGAUCGUAAAGCUCUGUUGUAAGUCAAGAACGGGUGUGAGAGUGGAAAGUUCACACUGUGACGGUAGCUUACCAGAAAGGGACGGCUAACUACGUG
rnacentral:rRNA from 1 species